GACGAACGCUGGCGGCGUGCUUAACACAUGCAAGUCGAACGAGGCCCCUUCUUCGGGAGGGUGUCCUAGUGGCGAACGGGUGAGUAACACGUGGGCAACCUGCCCCCGGCUCUGGGAUAACCCCAAGAAAUUGGGGCUAAUACCGGAUAUGUCCGCUGACCGCAUGGUCUGGUGGUGGAAAGGGUUUCCGGCUGGGGAUGGGCCCGCGGCCUAUCAGCUUGUUGGUGGGGUAGUGGCCUACCAAGGCGACGACGGGUAGCCGGCCUGAGAGGGUGACCGGCCACACUGGGACUGAGACACGGCCCAGACUCCUACGGGAGGCAGCAGUGGGGAAUAUUGCACAAUGGGCGCAAGCCUGAUGCAGCAACGCCGCGUGAGGGACGACGGCCUUCGGGUUGUAAACCUCUUUUAGCAGGGAAGAAGCGAAAGUGACGGUACCUGCAGAAAAAGCACCGGCUAACUACGUGCCAGCAGCCGCAGUAACAC
rnacentral:rRNA from 1 species